AGAAAUUAUUGGGUGAGCUUCUUUUUUGAAAUACUCUAUCGGAUAUUAUUAUUAGAACACCAAACACAAUACAACCCCAUAAAAGGCAAAAAUCAAGCCCAAUUAUAUGACCCAACUUAGCGAAAAAGCAAAAGAUGUUCUAAAAGCCUCCAAAUUGUAACAGUACAAUUAAUAUUUGCACAACUCCUGAAAACAUGAACAUAAAAAGCUUCCAAAUUUAAUUAUUUCUCUUUUCAAAGUUUCAAGAACUGUUCAUCUGUUUCCUACAUCUCUUCAGAUCCCUCAUCUCUCCAAUUUGAAUGACAGAUUACUCACCCAUCAGACCAGCAAGCUGGACAAUCGUUCUCUCUUGACCUCCUCUUUUGCAAAAAUAGACAAAUAGACAACAUUGACGAGGAAUUAUUUUCAAAGAACCAGAUCAAGAAACAAAGAAAUCAAAUUUGGAUCGGGGAAAAACGAAAGUUGUCGACUAGCAGCCCCGUCCCAUUUUACGACGUCCGAGAUUUUGGAAAAUCAAGUUACAAGCUCGGGGAUCAUUUACGAAGCUCAUCACACUAUCCACUAUUUUGGGUACUUUUAUAAGUUGCAUUAGAAAUUAUGGCAUGUAUAAGCUAAAGUAUGUUUUGGAAAUGUUAAUUUGGGGGUUGUAUAUAAAGCCAUGCGAAAAUGGCUAAGCAAUUAUCCUUAAAAAUUAUCUAUGUUAAGCUCAAUCUUUGCCCACUCUACUUUAUAAUUAUGUGACAUGUUUGCAUG